GACGAACGCUGGCGGCGUGCUUAACACAUGCAAGUCGAACGGAAAGGCCCUGCUUUUGUGGGGUGCUCGAGUGGCGAACGGGUGAGUAACACGUGAGUAACCUGCCCUUGACUUUGGGAUAACUUCAGGAAACUGGGGCUAAUACCGGAUAGGAUCUCCUGCUGCAUGGUGGGGGUUGGAAAGUUUCGGCGGUUGGGGAUGUACUCGCGGCUUAUCAGCUUGUUGGUGGGGUAGUGGCUUACCAAGGCUUUGACGGGUAGCCGGCCUGAGAGGGUUACCGGGCACAUUGGGACUGAGAUACGGCCCAGACGGCUACGGGAGGCAGCAGUGGAGAAUAUUGCACAAUGGGCGGAAGCCUGAUGCAGCAACGCGGCGAGCGGGAUGACGGCCUUCGGGGUGUAAACAGAUUUCGCCUGUGACGAAGCGUGAGUGACGGUAAUGGGUAAAGAAGCACCGGCUAACUACGUG
rnacentral:rRNA from 1 species